rnacentral:rRNA from 1 species
ACGCUAUCUGGAGGUUACCGCGGCUGCUGGCACGGAGUUAGCCGGUGCUUCUUCUGCGAGUAACGUCACAGCUAGCAGGUAUUAACUACUAACCUUUCCUCCUCGCUGAAAGUGCUUUACAACCCGAAGGCCUUCUUCACACACGCGGCAUGGCUGCAUCAGGGUUUCCCCCAUUGUGCAAUAUUCCCCACUGCUGCCUCCCGUAGGAGUCUGGGCCGUAGUCUCAGUCCCAGUGUGGCUGAUCAUCCUCUCAGACCAGCUAGGGAUCGUUGCCUAGGUGAGCCAUUACCUCACCUACUAGCCUAAUCCCACCUGGGCUUAUCCAUCAGCGCAAGGCCGAAGUUCCCCUG